rnacentral:rRNA from 1 species
AGUGAACGCUGGCGGUAGGCCUAACACAUGCAAGUCGAACGGCAGCACAGUAAGAGCUUGCUCUUACGGGUGGCGAGUGGCGGACGGGUGAGGAAUACAUCGGAAUCUACUUUUUCGUGGGGGAUAACGUAGGGAAACUUACGCUAAUACCGCAUACGACCUACGGGUGAAAGCAGGGGAUCUUCGGACCUUGCGCGAUUGAAUGAGCCGAUGUCGGAUUAGCUAGUUGGCGGGGUAAAGGCCCACCAAGGCGACGAUCCGUAGCUGGUCUGAGAGGAUGAUCGGCCAAACUGGACCUGGGACACGGCCCAACCUCCUACGGGAGGCAGCGGGGGGAAUUAUUGGACAAGGGGCGAAAGCCUGACCAAGCCAUCCCGCGUGGGUGAAGAAGGCCUUCGGGUUGUAAAGCCCUUUUGUUGGGAAAGAAAAGAAGCAGGUUAAUACCCCGCUGUUCUGAGGGUACCAAAAGAAUAAGCACCGCUUAACUUCGU